GAUGAACGCUGGCGGCGUGCCUAAUACAUGCAAGUCGAGCGAACAGACGAGGAGCUUGCUCCUCUGACGUUAGCGGCGGACGGGUGAGUAACACGUGGAUACCCUACCUAUAAGACUGGGAUAACUUCGGGAAACCGGAGCUAAUACCGGAUAAUAUAUUGAACCGCAUGGUUCAAUAGUGAAAGACGGUUUUGCUGUCACUUAUAGAUGGAUCCGCGCCGCAUUAGCUAGUUGGUAAGGUAACGGCUUACCACGGCAACGAUGCGUAGCCGACCUGAGAGGGUGAUCGGCCACACUGGAACUGAGACACGGUCCAGACUCCUACGGGAGGCAGCAGUAGGGAAUCGUACGCAAUGGGCGAGAGCCUGACGGAGCAACGCCGCGUGAGUGAUGAAGGUCUUCGGAUCGUAAAACUCUGUUAUGAGGGAAGAACAAAUGUGUAAGUAACUAUGCACGUCUUAACGGUACCUAAUCAGAAAGCCACGGCUAACUACGUG
rnacentral:rRNA from 1 species